rnacentral:rRNA from 1 species
AGGUUAAGUUAUAAAGGGCGUACGGUGGAUGCCUUGGCACUAGGAGCCGAUGAAGGACGGAACUAAUACCGAUAUGCUUCGGGGAGCUAUACGUAAGCUUUGAUCCGAAGAUUUCCGAAUGGGGGAACCCAGCCAACUUAGUCGUUGGUUACUGUAUUGUGAAUACAUAGCAAUAUAGAGGUAGACGUGGGGAACUGAAACAUCUCAGUACCCACAGGAAUAGAAAGAAAAAUCGAUUCCCUAAGUAGCGGCGAGCGAACGGGGAACAGCCCAAACCAAGAAGCUUGCUUCUUGGGGUUGUAGGACUGGCCUUUGGAGUUACCAAAGUCAGUGGUAGUCGAAGCAGUUGGAACGCUGCAUCAAAGAGGGUGAAAAUCCCGUAGACAAAACCACUGGCCCUCCGGCCAGGAUCCUGAGUACGGCGGAACACGUGAAAUUCCGUCGGAAUCCGGGAGGACCAUCUCCCAAGGCUAAAUACUCCCUAGUGACCGAUAGUGAACCAGUACCGUGAGGGAAAGGUGAAAAGCACCCCGGAAGGGGAGUGAAACAGUUCCUGAAACCGUAUGCCUACAAGUAGUCAGAGCACGUUAAUGUGUGAUGGCGUGCCUUUUGUAGAAUGAACCGGCGAGUUACGUUUGCAAGCGAGGUUAAGGUGAAAAACCGGAGCCGUAGCGAAAGCGAGUCUGAAAUGGGCAACAUAGUUUGUAGACGUAGACCCGAAACCAGGUGACCUACCCAUGUCCAGGUUGAAGGUGUGGUAAAACACACUGGAGGACCGAACCCGUGUAUGUUGAAAAAUGCUGGGAUGAGGUGUGGGUAGCGGUGAAAUUCCAAACGAACUUGGAGAUAGCUGGUUCUCUCCGAAAUAGCUUUAGGGCUAGCCUCGGAAGAAAUCAUCAUGGAGGUAGAGCACUGUUUGGACUAGGGGCCCGUCUUGGGUUACUGAAUUCAGAUAAACUCCGAAUGCCAUCGAUGUAAUUAUCCGGGAGUCAGACUAUGAGUGAUAAGAUCCGUAGUCGAAAGGGAAACAGCCCAGAUCACCAGUUAAGGUCCCAAAAUUUAUGUUAAGUGGAAAAGGAUGUGGGGUUGCAUAGACAACUAGGAUGUUGGCUCAGAAGCAGCCACCAUUUAAAGAGUGCGUAAUAGCUCACUAGUCGAGUGACCCUGCGCCGAAAAUGUACCGGGGCUAAACAUAAUACCGAAACUGUGGAUGGCCACUACGUGGCCGUGGUAGGAGAGCGUUCUAAGGGCGUUGAAGGUCGAUCGUGAGGACGGCUGGAGCGCUUAGAAGUGAGAAUGCCGGUAUGAGUAGCGAAAGACAGGUGAGAAUCCUGUCCACCGAAUGACUAAGGUUUCCUGGGGAAGGCUCGUCCUCCCAGGGUUAGUCGGGACCUAAGCCGAGGCCGAGAGGCGUAGGCGAUGGAUAACAGGUUGAGAUUCCUGUACUAGUUUAUUUUGUUUGAACGAUGGAGGGACGCAGGAGGCUAAGGUAACCAUUCUGUUGGAUAUGAAUGGCCAAGCAACAAGUCUUAGGUUGAGUCAAAUGCUUGAUCUUAUACGGACAAGUUGUGAUGGGUAGCGAAAUUUAAGUAGCGAAGUACCUGAUGUCACACUGCCAAGAAAAGCUUCUAGUGAGAAAUAAACUACCCGUACCGCAAACCGACACAGGUAGUCGAGGAGAGAAUCCUCAGGUGAGCGAGCGAACUCUCGUUAAGGAACUCGGCAAAAUGACCCCGUAACUUCGGAAGAAGGGGUGCUGCACGCAAGUGCAGCCGCAGUGAAUAGGCCCAGGCGACUGUUUAUCAAAAACACAGGUCCCUGCUAAAUCGUAAGAUGACGUAUAGAGGCUGACGCCUGCCCGGUGCUGGAAGGUUAAGUGGAUGUGUUAGCACUUCGGUGCGAAGCUCAGAAAUGAAGCCCCAGUAAACGGCGGCCGUAACUAUAACGGUCCUAAGGUAGCGAAAUUCCUUGUCGGGUAAGUUCCGACCCGCACGAAAGGCGUAACGAUCUGGGCACUGUCUCGACGAGAGACUCGGUGAAAUUAUAAUACCCGUGAAGAUGCGGGUUACCCGCGACAGGACGGAAAGACCCCAUGGAGCUUUACUGUAGCUUGAUAUUGAGUGUUGGUACAGCUUGUACAGGAUAGGUAGGAGCCGUUGAAGCCGGAACGCUAGUUUCGGUGGAGGCAUUGGUGGGAUACUACCCUUGCUGUAUGAACACUCUAACCCGCGCCACUCAGCGUGGCGGGAGACAGUGUCAGGUGGGCAGUUUGACUGGGGCGGUCGCCUCCUAAAAAGUAACGGAGGCGCCCAAAGGUUCCCUCAGAAUGGUUGGAAAUCAUUCAUAGCGUGUAAAGGCAUAAGGGAGCUUGACUGCGAGACUUACAGGUCGAGCAGGGACGAAAGUCGGGCUUAGUGAUCCGGUGGUUCCGCAUGGAAGGGCCAUCGCUCAACGGAUAAAAGCUACCCUGGGGAUAACAGGCUUAUCUCCCCCAAGAGUCCACAUCGACGGGGAGGUUUGGCACCUCGAUGUCGGCUCAUCGCAUCCUGGGGCUGUAGUUGGUCCCAAGGGUUGGGCUGUUCGCCCAUUAAAGCGGUACGCGAGCUGGGUUCAGAACGUCGUGAGACAGUUCGGUCCCUAUCCGUCGCGGGCGUAGGAAAUUUGAGUGGAGCUGUUCCUAGUACGAGAGGACCGGAAUGGACAUACCGCUGGUGUACCAGUUGUGCCGCCAGGCGCAUCGCUGGGUAGCUAAGUAUGGACGGGAUAAACGCUGAAAGCAUCUAAGUGUGAAGCCCCCCACAAGAUGAGAUUUCCCAUUCCUUUAUGGAAGUAAGACCCCUGAGAGAUGAUCAGGUAGAUAGGUUGGAAGUGGAAGUGUAGUGAUACAUGGAGCGGACCAAUACUAAUCGGUCGAGGACUUAACCAAG